rnacentral:tRNA from 1 species
GGGGUUGUGGCUCAGUGGCAGAGUGCUUGCCUCGCACAUAAGAGGCACGGGGUUCGAUCCUCAGCACCA